GCACCUGUAGCUCGGCUGGAUAGAUUAACGGCCUGUGAAGCCGUAGGUCGCGCGUUCGAAUCGCGCCGGGUGAG
rnacentral:tRNA from 1 species